rnacentral:rRNA from 1 species
GAUGAACGCUAGCAGGACGCCUAACACAUGCAAGUCUAACGGUUUCUUUUCUUUGAAUGGUUUUUUCUUCGGAAAAUACUGUGAUAAGAUUUUUGAAACAGUGGCAAACGGGCGAGUAACACGUGCCUAACCUGCCCCAAAGAGAGAUACAACGGUGGAAACGCCGCUAAUAUCUCAUGUGGUCUAGUGAAUGAAAAAAACUAGAUUAAAGGCUUCGGUCGCUUUGGGAGGGGGGUGCGGCCUAUCAGGUAGUUGGUGGGGUAAUUGCCUACCAAGCCUAUGACGGGCAGCCGAUCUGAGAGGAUGUACGGUCGCAAUGGGACUGAGACACGGCCCAUACUCCUACGGGAGGCAGCAGUGGGGAAUCUUGGACAAUGGAGGAAACUCUGAUCCAGCGAUCCUGCGUGGAGGACGACGCCUUACGGGGUGUAAACUCCUUUUUUGGGGGAAGACGACUGACGGUACCCCAAGAAUAAGGGACGGCUAACUACGUGCCAGCAGCCGCGGUAAUACGUAGGUCCCAAGCGUUAUCCGGAUUUACUGGGCGUAAAGCGUCUGUAGCCGGUCAUGCAAGUCUGUUUUCAAAUCCCACGACUCAAUCGUGGACAGGGAAUGGAUACUACAUGACUGGAGGUUGUGAGGGGUUAGUAGAAUUUCCGGUGGAGCGGUGGAAUGCGUUGAUAUCGGAAGGAAUGCCAAAAGCGAGAGCAGCUAACUAUCACAAACCUGACGGUGAGAGACGAAAGUCUGGGUAGCAAACGGGAUUAGAUACCCCGGUAGUCCAGACCGUAAAUGAUGUCCGCUAGGUGUUUCUCCGGUAAUUUUCCAUGCAAAUGUAUGGUGAGUUACCGGAGGAGUGCCGCAAGCUAACGCGUUAAGCGGACCGCCUGGGUAG